rnacentral:rRNA from 1 species
UACGACCUGGCCGCAUGCUUAACACAUGCAAGUCGCACGGUCAGCAAUGGGCAGUGUGCGGACGGGUGAGUAACACGUAGGAAUCUAUCCCAGGGUGGGGGGACACAGCGGGGAAAACUGCUGCUAAUACCGCAUGAUACCUGAAGGGUCAAAGGCGCCAGUCCCCUUGGGAGGAACCUGCCUCUGAUUAACUUGUUGGUGGGGUUUAGGCCUACCCAAGCGACCAUCAAUUUCUG